GUAGGGGGCAAGCGUUGUCCGGAAUCAUUGGGCGUAAAGAGCGUGUAGGCGGUCCGGUAAGUCGGCUGUGAAAGUCCAGGGCUCAACCCUGGGAUGCCGGUCGAUACUGCCGGACUAGAGUUCGGAAGAGGCGAGUGGAAUUCCCGGUGUAGCGGUGAAAUGCGCAGAUAUCGGGAGGAACACCUAUGGCGAAGGCAGCUCGCUGGGACGUUACUGACGCUGAGACGCGAAAGCGUGGGGAGCAAACAGGAUUAGAUACCCUGGUAGUCCACGCCGUAAACGAUGGGCACUAGGUGUGGGAGGUGUCGACUCCUCCCGUGCCGGAGCUAACGCAUUAAGUGCCCCGCCUGGGGAGUACGGCCGCAAGGCUA
rnacentral:rRNA from 1 species